ACAUGGCGACAGAGAGAACCAGGCACAGGGGUCUCAGGGGGUCACAGGCCUUCAGGACACAAAGAGCCUGGGGUGGGUCACAGGCCCUGGGGAGGUGUCACAGACCUUGGGGACAGAGAGAACCCAGUGGCCUCCCUCCCCAUGGAAAAGGGCUGUCAUGGGGCUGAGAUCACCCCGGGAGCAGCGGCAGAGGUGGAGGCACAGGCUGACACUGCAGUUUUCCCGUACUCCAGGCUGCUGGCGAAGAUUCCGGCUGUUUCCGUGGCACAGGGAGGCUCCGUGCAGCUCUACCUGACACCUCACCCGUGCCAGCCAUGGAAAAUGGGAUGGGGUUUGAGCCUGUUGGCAGCGGGGAGAGCGUCCAGGCAGGAGGAGCGAGUUUUCCAGGUGUGCACCUGGCUCUGACUCCAGGGAGGGAUCUUUGGAUCGACCACUAAACCAGCUCCGCUCGUUUCCACGGCGUUCCCAGCUCAGGGUUCACUUAUCACACAAACAGGCAAAGUCCUCUGGCUUUUACCACUACAUUUGACAUCCCUCCACCCCACUUUCCAGUGCAUUUGGGAAUGACCAGAAUUAGGAAGAAGGUGACCAGCCCUCUCUGUUCUCGCACCUGCCCAGCUCUGAGCAGCUACAAGCCAAGAGAUCUAUGUUUGCCCAGGGAGCUGGUGGAGUCCCCAUCCCUGGAAGU